UGUGAAUAGUGUAACAAGAGCGGACGCAAACCUGAGGAAUGCAAACGCAGACCACGAGAAGUGUGAACGAUUAUAGUCCCUAGUGAAACUCGCGAAGCUCGUAGGUCUGAAGAAACGGAAAGAUCAGAGGUCGUAAGUGCAUCCAUUGUCGAGAGUAAAGAGCGAGAUAUGCCAGUGGUAGAGAUAAAGAAGAAGAAAAGAAGGCUACUGUAUUCAGAGACAUGGGUGCGGACACCGUGCUAGUAAGGAGAUGUUUGGUACCUAUGAAAAGCAUCACGGGGCAGAUCAAACCAGUUGUGUUCGCGGACAGCUGGGUGAGAUACCUCCCGGAGGCAAA